rnacentral:tRNA from 1 species
AGAAAUUUAGGUUAACUAAACCAAUGGCCUUCAAAGCCCUAGAUACGAGCAUAGCCCUCUUAAUUUCUG